GCCACCUCCAGCCACCACCCUCAACCAUUUUUCAGUGUUUUGUCACUCAAUAAUCUAACAAAAAAAGCCCGGUUUUUGGCACCAACCCAGAACACCUCACUCAAAACCCACAUCAAAAACUCUUCAACCUAACUUCACACACACAUUGUGUGUAUCACUGUGUGUGUCCAAUUGGAUCUUUAUAGAUCCUCCCAUCAUCAAUGAGAGCUCACUCUCAGCAGCCAAUCCUUCAUCCUACAGUUUAACUGAGAUCUGGCCCUGCAAUAGCACUAGAAUUGAGGAUUUAGGGCUCAAAAUGGGAACCCUAAUUGCCCCAAUUGGGGACCCGAAUAUUGUUUGUAUCGGAGUUGCGAAGGUAUCCUGCUGCUGGAUCUGAAACAGAUGCUCAGAAAUUGAUUUCUUUGGUUUUUAGUAUGCUGAAAGAUGGAAAUCAUCGGGUUGAUGAGAAAAUUAUUAGAAACUUUAAGUUUGGUGCAAGGGCUGUGUUGAACCCCAUGGCAGCCAUGUUUGGGGGUGUUGUUGGACAGGAAGUUGUUAAGGCUUGUUCUAGAAAGUUUCAUCCACUACUUCACGCCUGCAACAAAAAGAAUUAUCCUACAGUUUAACUGGGAUCUGGCGGGAGCGGAGGGAUCCCAAUUUUGAAGAUGAAGGGUCGAAGAUUAUGUCCACUAGUAGGGCGAUUGAUUUGGUAAUUUUAUAAAAUCCCCAAUGUUGUUCAGUUAUAAAAUGAAAUACAUAUUGUUUAGCUUGUGCAAAA